rnacentral:rRNA from 1 species
CAGCCGUAAACAGUGUGCGUUAGGUGUGUCGGUAACCACGUGUUACUGAUGCGCCGAAGAGAAAUCGUGAAACGCACCACCUGGGAAGUACGGUCGCAAGGCUGAAACUUAAAGGAAUUGGCGGGGGAGCACCACAACAGGUGGAGCCUGCGGUUUAAUUGGAUUCAACGCCGGACAUCUCACCGGAUAAGACAGCUGAAUGAUUGUCAAUCUGAAGGUUUUACAUGACUAGCUGAGAGGUGGUGCAUGGCGUCAGUGACU